rnacentral:lncRNA from 1 species
AAAUAUUUCUGAAUUCUCUUGUGAUAGGUCAAAAAAUUGAGGAAGACAUAAAUAAUUAGCAGCUGAAGAAUGACUCAGAUUAUAAGUAGUGAAUAAGAAUGAUUAGGGGGAAAUAGAGACAGUUUAAUCAGUGCAUGACCAAAAUCAAACAGAGUAAACUGUGUCAUCAUGGAGGUCUGCCAGGAAAUCCCCAAAAUACAGAAGGAUCAGAAGUAGAUGGAAAUACCGUCAUAGAACAUCUCUCACAAGUGUGUUAUAAGAAUGACAGGGAAGCUACAGGUUACAACAGAUUUGUGAACUCAGCCAAGCACAGUGGUGUCAGGGCCUAGCUGCUACAAAGAAGACAUGUUUUAGACAAAUACUCAUGUGUAUGGGCAAAAAACUCGAGGACUGUAUUUGUGGCUAAUUGUGUAACAGGGUAUUUUAGUUUCUGUUCUGUGGAAAGUGUAAAGCAUUCCAACAAAGGGUUUUAAUGUAGAUUUUUUUUUGCACCCAUGCUUUGAUUGCUAAAUGUAAUAGUCUGAUUGUGACGCUGAAUAAAUGUCUUUUUCU